CUUAGCUGCAAAAGAAACAGAUGCAACAGGUUGCACUUCCACAGGAGAUAGUCACAAAGCAACCUCAUGACUUAAAACAUGCAAGGUUCUUUCCUUAUUCCACCUGACACUGACAACACAUAUCCCUUUAUCUACUCAGACCCAUGAAUAUUCCUUGAGGAAGAAAAGUAACAGAGAAGAAGAAACAUACUGAUUGAUACCUCACUAACCUGGAAAAGAACACUGGAUACUCACUCUGUUUAUAUGAAAGUGAAAUACAGAAUAAAACCCGAGAACCAAAUUUCUUUUAUUUUUUUUCCGAGACGGAGCCUCGCCCUGUCGCCCAGGUUGGAGUGCAAUGGUGCAAUCUCGGCUCACUGCAACCUCCACCUCCCAGGUUCAAGCGAUUCUCCCGCUUCAGCCUCCCGAGUAGCUGGGACUACAGGCGCGUGGCAAGAACCAAAUUUCUUUUGAACCUAAUAGUUUCCUUCCUGAUAUCCAGCUGCUGAGAGCUCAGUAAGAGAGGAAAGGACAUUUCCUGGCAAACAUGCAAACAAACACUACAGAAGAUCAUCAGGAGGUGAUCUAUUUUAAAUCACCUCGGACAGCAACAAUGAUAACUUAUUCCAAACACUUCAGGUUACUUUUCUUACUUCUCUGUGCAUAACCAACUUCCUAUCCCAGAACAUUUGCAAUAUU
rnacentral:lncRNA from 1 species